rnacentral:rRNA from 1 species
UACGUAGGCAGCGAGCGUUGUUCGGAAUUACUGGGCGUAAAGAGUGUGUAGGCGGUGCUCCCAGUCUGUUGUGAAAUCUCCCGGCUUAACUGGGAGGGUGCAGCGGAAACUAGAGUGCUAGAGGGUGGGAGAGGUAAGCGGAAUUCCUGGUGUAGCGGUGAAAUGCGUAGAUAUCAGGAGGAACACCGGUGGUGUAAACGGCUUUCUGGACCAUAACUGACGCUGAGGCACGAAAGCGUGGGUAGCAAACAGG